rnacentral:rRNA from 1 species
GACGAACGCUGGCGGCGUGCCUAAUACAUGCAAGUAGGACGCACAGUUUAUACCGUAGCUUGCUACACCAUAGACUGUGAGUUGCGAACGGGUGAGUAACGCGUAGGUAACCUGCCUGGUAGCGGGGGAUAACUAUUGGAAACGAUAGCUAAUACCGCAUAAUAUUAAUUAUUGCAUGAUAAUUAAUUGAAAGGUGCAAUUGCACCACUACCAGAUGGACCUGCGUUGUAUUAGCUAGUAGGUGAGGUAACGGCUCACCUAGGCGACGAUACAUAGCCGACCUGAGAGGGUGAUCGGCCACACUGGGACGGAGACACGGCCCAGACGCCUACGGGAGGCAGCAGUAGGGAAUCUUCGGCAAUGGACGAAAGUCUGACCGAGCAACGCCGCGUGAGUGAAGAAGGUUUUCGGAUCGUAAAGCUCGGUUGUAAGAGAAGAACGGGUGUGAGAGUGGAAAGUUCACACUGUGACGGUAUCUUACCAGAAAGAGACGGCUAACUACGUG